CUUUUACUUGCAAGAGUACUAUCGAUUCGAGACUCCUCAAGAUGAAGAGAUUGGCCGUCAAAUUUUUGAGGAGGUGGCCACACGUAGGCUCCAGGAUAAGCUAUACAACCUUAGUAGUCCAUCAUAGAGCACUCUAGUUUUGAGUCACCAUCGGAUUGAAAGUCUUACAUAGAUCACUAGAUACAGGCAGGCAUAUGGGAGGCCCUUU
rnacentral:lncRNA from 1 species